rnacentral:rRNA from 1 species
UACGUAGGUGGCAAGCGUUAUCCGGAUUUAUUGGGUUUAAAGGGUGCGUAGGCGGUCCGUUAAGUCAGCGGUAAAAUUGCGGGGCUCAACCCCGUCGAGCCGUUGAAACUGAUGUUCUUGAGUGGGCGAGAAGUAUGCGGAAUGCGUGGUGUAGCGGUGAAAUGCAUAGAUAUCACGCAGAACUCCGAUUGCGAAGGCAGCAUACCGGCGCCCAACUGACGCUGAAGCACGAAAGCGUGGGUAUCGAACAGG